rnacentral:lncRNA from 1 species
CCAAAAUUGGGGAGGGGGAGUUGGGAUUUGGGGAGGGGGACCCCAAAAAUGGGAGGGGGGAUUUGGAAUUUGGGAUAUUUUGGGUCCGUUCUGGUGCAUUUUGGGUGCAUUUUGGGGUAUUUUGGGUCCAUUUUGGUGCAUUUUGGUGCAUUUUGGGCUAUUUUGGGUGGAUUUUGGGCUAUUUUGGGUCCGUUUUGGUGCAUUUUGGGCUAUUUUGGGUGGAUUUUGGGCUAUUUUGGGUGGAUUUUGGGCUAUUUUGGGUGGAUUUUGGGCUAUUUUGGGUGGAUUUGGGGCUAUUCUGGGUGGAUUUUGGGCUAUUUUGGGUGGAUUUUGGGAUAUUUUGGGUGCAUUUUGGGUUAUUUUGGGUGGAUUUUGGGAUAUUUUGGGUGCAUUUUGGGUUAUUCUGGGUGGAUUUGGUCGCGUUCUGUCGCGUUCCCGUUGCGUUGCGCGCUCCCCGACGCGCCCGGCGCCGGCGCAGGUUUUCCUGCAGGACACCUUCGGCCUGAAGACGCUGUGGGGCCGGGGGGCCCUGGGGGGCUGCGCCGUGCCCGGGGUGCCCCACACGGCCUGGCACAGCCACCGGGGGGUCUACGAGCGCUGCAUCCGGCCCUGGCUCACCUGAGAGCGAUCUAUAGGGGAUCCAUAGGGGAUCUGUGGGGCUGGGAGGGAUCUAUGGGGGUUUCUAUGGGAUCUAUG